rnacentral:rRNA from 1 species
CGCACAAGCGGUGGAGCAUGUGGUUUAAUUCGAUGCAACGCGAAGAACCUUACCUGGUCUUGACAUCCACAGAACUUAGCAGAGAUGCUUUGGUGCCUUCGGGAACUGUGAGACAGGUGCCGCAUGGCUGUCGUCAGCUCGUGUUGUGAAAUGUUGGGUUAAGUCCCGCAACGAGCGCAACCCUUAUCCUUUGUUGCCAGCGGUUAGGCCGGGAACUCAAAGGAGACUGCCAGUGAUAAACUGGAGGAAGGUGGGGAUGACGUCAAGUCAUCAUGGCCCUUACGACCAGGGCUACACACGUGCUACAAUGGCGCAUACAAAGAGAAGCGACCUCGCGAGAGCAAGCGGACCUCAUAAAGUGCGUCGUAGUCCGGAUUGGAGUCUGCAACUCGACUCCAUGAAGUCGGAAUCGCUAGUAAUCGUAGAUCAGAAUGCUACGGUGAAUACGUUCCCGGGCCCUGUACACACCGCCCGUCACACCAUGGGAGUGGGUUGCAAAUGAAGUAGGUAGCUAA